rnacentral:misc_RNA from 1 species
GAUGAAGAACGUAGUGAAAUGCGAUAAGUAAUGUGAAUUGCAGAAUUCAGUGAAUCAUCGAAUCUUUGAACGCACAUUGCGCCCGCCAGUAUUCUGGCGGGCAUGCCUGUUCGAGCGUCAUUUCAACCCUCAGGCCCCCAGUGCCUGGUGUUGGGGAUCGGCCCAGCCUUCCUGUAAGGCCGCCGGCCCCGAAAUCUAGUGGCGGUCUCGCUGUAGUCCUCCUCUGCGUAGUAGCACAACCUCGCAGUUGGAACGCGGCGGUGGCCAUGCCGUUAAACACCCCACUUCUGAAAGUUGACCUCGGAUCAGGUAGGAAUACCCGCUGAACUUAAGCAUAUCAAUAGAGGA